AAUCCCGGCACGCUCACCCGGGCAGGCGGGUGGGCACCGUAACGCAACGGCACGGCCAUGGUUCCCUGUUCACAUGUUCCCGGAAUCCAAUGUUAGCAGGUAGGUGUGUAUUGAUGUCGUGGGUUGCCCGCCCCAUGACAUGACGUGGCAUACUUUCAGGUUCCGUCUGGCCCUUUUGGAUGCUUCGCGGUUUGGCAUUGUUAAGAGUCCCCCGGAUGGGCUGUGUGCGCGGUUUUUCACGGGAGCUUGAAAGCCUCGUGUGAGCGAUUUUGCGGGCUGUUUGUGAUGAGCUCGGGCUGAGUGGCUGAGUGAGUGAGUGAGUGAGUGAGAAAGUAUAUGAAUGAAUGAGGUCUGCGUCCGCCUUGGCAGGCUCACUGAGACAAUAAAACUUGUUUUUGUUUGUGUGGUAGCUAGCGCUUGUCGCGUAGGGAGAUAUCACGAUCGAUGAUAUCGCCAUCUCCAGGAGGAUUCACUGGUUGGGGAUUCCGAGGCGGAUCAUUUCGUUUGGGGGGG
rnacentral:sRNA from 2 species